AAUCAAAAUCAAGACUUCAACUGGUUAGUCUCAACACUUGAAUACUGUGAAAUUUCAGCUGAUAGCAGAACUAGUGUAACAGGAUGAAAGAAAAUCAGAUCACUAAGGACCCACUAGGAAUUACAGAAUCCUAUUAACACUAGCACUAGUAUUCAUAUAAGAGCACAUGUAGUUUCAGGGCAUAUUAUAUAGUAGUUAGCUCGUUUUGAAUGUGGGAUAUCUCAAAUAAAGGUGUCGUUUUCAUUUUCAGAAUCCUAUUAACACCUCUAGCACUAGUAUUCAAUAAUAAAUGCACAUUUAGUUUCAGGAACUUUUUCUAUACCAGUAGCUAGCUCGUUCUAAAUUUGGCAUAUU
rnacentral:lncRNA from 1 species